CGGAGGAUCCAAGCGUUAUCCGGAAUCAUUGGGUUUAAAGGGUCCGUAGGCGGUUUGAUAAGUCAGUGGUGAAAGCCCAUCGCUCAACGAUGGAACGGCCAUUGAUACUGUCAGACUUGAAUUACUGGGAAGUAACUAGAAUAUGUAGUGUAGCGGUGAAAUGCUUAGAUAUUACAUGGAAUACCAAUUGCGAAGGCAGGUUACUACCAGUGGAUUGACGCUGAUGGACGAAAGCGUGGGGAGCGAACAGGAUUAGAUACCCUGGUAGUCCACGCCGUAAACGAUGGAUACUAGCUGUUCGGAGCAAUCUGAGUGGCUAAGCGAAAGUGAUAAGUAUCCCACGUGGGGAGUACGUUCGCAAGAAUG
rnacentral:rRNA from 1 species